rnacentral:rRNA from 1 species
CCCUUAGACGUUCUGGGCCGCACGCGCGCUACACUGACCAGUGCAACAAGCAUCCGUCCUUGGCCGACAGGCUCGGGCAAUCUUUGAACGCUGGUCGUGAUGGGGAUAGACUUUUGCAAUUUUUGGUCUUCAACGAGGAAUUCCUAGUAAACGCAAGUCAUCAACUUGCAUUGAUUACGUCCCUACCCUUUGUACACACCGCCCGUCGCACCUACCGAUUGAAUGGUCCGGUGAAGCCUCCGGAUUGGCGCGCACCUCGGUGCCGCCGAGAAGUUGGCUAAACCUUACCAUUUAGAGGAAGGUGAAGUCGUAACA